rnacentral:sRNA from 1 species
CAAGUUCGAGACAGCGCUCUCCUCCUCCCAACGCGCCUCGACGGGAUCGACGACACUCCUCCUCCCAAGUUGUCGAUCGGAACAGGCAACGCCCGUCGGACCCCCUCCCCCGACGGGUGUUGUUU